GAACGCCGCAUCUCUCCCCCCCCCCCUCCCACUAACUCAUCAGACCGCCGUCGUGCCUCCUUCGUUGCUCAAAUCCAAAGUCGUCGCUGCUCGCCCAGCCGAUUUUCUCCUCCAUUCAUGGCCGCGUCGCCCAACUGAGGGCGUCGUUUUCGUUCGUCUGCCGCCCCUCUACCGGAAAACCCAUGAUUUUCAAGCCCUCAGCCUAGCUCGCCGUUCCCUUGUGCCUCGCCGGCCCAGACCCGAUCAGUUGCUGCCUCUUCAUGCUUUGCCAGAACCCAGAUCUGUCGUCGGCCGUUUCCCUUGUUGCCGUUGGAUCUGUUCUAGGUAAGGUUGAGGUAGUUCGGUUCGAUCUCUUAGCCAUUAACAUUGGGUUUCGUCAUUUUGAUUCACAGUUGUUGGGUUUUAUUGAAGGUGAGUUUUUAAGCAAAGCUUGGACUUAGAGGGAGUGUCAUUCAAGGGAAGGUGGAAGUGAUCUCAAUCCUUUGGAAUUGAGACCGCUAUUUCGGGUUGCCGCCAUAGUUUGGCCGUCUUUUGUUAUCCGUAGAGUUCGUUUGAGGUAAGGGUAGAGAUGCACCGACGAUGGCGCAGCAGAAUUUGUGAUCGUGCCACUGAGACUAGUUUUUUUACGCUUCCACAUCAUGAAAUUUAGAGUCCUUAUUUUUCCCUUAAUUUUUAGUUUUACUGUUUGAAACUUAUCAUGAAGGAUUUUUUUUAUAUACUUUUAAUAGUCUUUACGAAUUAUUGGUACCCUAUUAUUGUUUUAACAAUUGCAUUUAAUAAAUGGCUUUUGAACUUCUCUUGUCUAUUUAGCAUUUAUUUCAACAUAAUUGAGUGUCGUUUCAAAUCCUAUGCAUGCAUUUAUUUUAGUAACGGCCUAACCUAAGUCCUAAGGGGUCAGGUCGUUACAAUUGGUAUCAGAGCGGAACCUUUCCCAGUAAGAUGUAGUCUGAGGACGAACCAAGCGAAAGCUGGUGGGCAUGUAACGACCCGAGUUCAGGAGGGGUACAUGAAUGAACCGAUAUCACAUCCGAAUGAGAGGGAUCCUGAGGACAUAAAAGUAUGGUUAAUAAAGGCUUAAAAGAAUUAAAAGUUACUACCCAUACCAACAAGGUGCACCUUCCUUUUCGGUGGCUCAAUCAUAAAAACUUCAAAGUUAAGCGUACUUAGCUUAGAGCAAUCCUAUGUUGGGUGACCUCCUGGAAAUUUUUCUAAGGACAAAGCAUCCUGAAAAGACCCAUCAUCAGCACUUGAGACGCUUUUAACUUCAGCGAAUUAACAUCAAGUGUUGCUUAGAAUUGAUCUAGAAAGUUAUAUCAAAAGAUUUAUCUUAGAACUUAGAAAAUUAUAAAGUUUGAAACGUACUUGCGAUAAUAUGUUAUUUCUUUACAAUUGUUGAGAAUGUACCAAUGUGCGAUACGCUUUUUCUUCGUCGAUAGUGUCCAUAAAGUUGACACUCCUAAUGGUCAUACCCUUUGCCUAAAUAAUUCAACUUCACCAAAUAUCUCAUGAUCGAGAAUGUUAUCAUCAUUUCGUUCAUCUCUACUAAAUCUCGUUUCAAUCCCACUUAGAUAUUGCGAACAAAAAUUUCAUGAUUCAUUCAUUACAUAUGCUUCCACUAUAGGAUCCCUUAGGACGUUCUUUGUUCCAUACAAAUUGUUUUAAUGUUCGUAAACUUCUUUCAAUAGGAUACAUCCAACUGUAACUAACCAGACCUACCACUUUGGUUUCAUAUGGUAGAUGAUUAGAAAAAUAUACUAUUAUAUCAAAGGUCGGCGAGAAUAUUUUUUCCAACUUACAAAGUAUGACUAUGAUGUCUACUUGUAGUCGGUUCAAAUCACUUACACGUAUUGUUUUUUAACAUAAGUCACGAAAGAAUGCACACAAUUCAACAAUAGCAAAGGACACGUUCUUCGAUAGGUAUGCUUGAAUACCAAUAGGAAGUAGUCUAUGAAGCAACACAUGGCAAUCGUGUGUUUUCAGCCCGAUAUUUUUCCAUCUCUGUCCUUCACACAUCGUGAUAUACUAAACAAGAAUCCAUCAGAAAAUUUCAUUGAUUUCAAAUACUUACAAAAUAAAAUCCAUUCACUAUUAAUUAAUGUGUACGUUGCAUGUGGUUUUACAAAUUUGUUAUCGACCUGUAAGUCCUUUCUUAUCUUCAAAUCUUGUAGGUCUAACUGAGCC